rnacentral:rRNA from 1 species
CUACGGGAGGCUCCAGUGGGGAAUAUUGGACAAUGGGGGAAACCCUGAUCCAGCAAUGCCGCGUGUGUGAAGAAGGCCCGCGGGUUGUAAAGCACUUUCGGUUGGGAGGACUGCUUCUAGCACUAAUAUUGUUGGAAGUUGACGUUACCUUCAGAAGAGGCACCGGCUAACUCCGUGCCAGCAGCCGCGGUAAUACGGAGGGUGCAAGCGUCAAUCGGAAUUACUGGGCGUAAAGCGCGCGUAGGCGGCUAGAUCAGUCGGGUGUGAAAGCCCCGGGCUUAACCUGGGAACUGCAUCCGAUACUGUCUAGCUUGAGUACAGGAGAGGAGAGUGGAAUUCCACAUGUAGCGGUGAAAUGCGUAGAUAUGUGGAGGAACACCAAUGGCGAAGGCAGCUCUCUGGCCUGAUACUGACGCUGAGGUGCGAAAGCGUGGGGAGCAAACAGGAUUGAUACCCUGGUAGUC